CAAUAGCGUAUAUUAAAGUUGUUGCGGUUAAAAAGCUCGUAGUUGGAUUUCUGCCGAGGACGACCGGUCCGCCCUCUGGGUGUGUAUCUGGUUUGGCCUGGGCAUCUUCUUGGAGAACGUAGCUGCACUUGACUGUGUGGUGCGGUGUCCAGGACUUUUACUUUGAGGAAAUUAGAGUGUUUCAAGCAGGCACACGCCUUGAAUACAUUAGCAUGGAAUAAUAAGAUAGGACCUCGGUUCUAUUUUGUUGGUUUCUAGAGCUGAGGUAAUGAUUAAUAGGGAUAGUUGGGGGCAUUCGUAUUUAACUGUCAGAGGUGAAAUUCUUGGAUUUGUGAAAGACGGACUACUGCGAAAGCAUUUGCCAAGGAUGUUUUCAUUGA
rnacentral:rRNA from 1 species